GUGGAUUAGAUACCCCAGUAGUCCACGCCCUAAACGAUGUCAACUGGUUGUUGGUGGGGUUAAACCCAUUAGUAACGAAGCUAACGCGUGAAGUUGACCGCCUGGGGAGUACGGCCGCAAGGUUAAAACUCAAAGGAAUUGACGGGGACCCGCACAAGCGGUGGAUGAUGUGGAUUAAUUCGAUGCAACGCGAAGAACCUUACCUACCCUUGACAUGCCAGGGAGCCCGCUGAGAGGUGGGUGUGCCCGAAAGGGAGCCUGGACACAGGUGCUGCAUGGCCGUCGUCAACU
rnacentral:rRNA from 1 species